GUGAAAAUGGCCUCAUAAUUGAAUUUCUAUGACUAUAUCUGCGAAUAUCUCAAAUUUGGAUAAAAUGUUUGAAUUAAAAGAAUGGUACUUUCCAGAUUCGUGCGUUGAUCUUUAGCGUCCGGCGAGGAACUAGGAGACCUGAAAAAAUGGCCGCUCGUAUUCUGGGUCCUAACUCCGCCUCCCAGCUGUUUUUUGUCAUUGAAGAGGCGGAGACUUACAGCCGCGCGAAGAGGCGCUGUUUCCUGGCGCUGGUUUUCGGCCUGCGUCUGGAGAUGGAAAAUGAGCUCAGAGCGGAUGAGCGGCCUGCUCAGGUUUCCACAGAAGGUGGCAGAGCUAGGAUUUGAACCCUGCUUGUGACUACUUGAGAGGAAAAGGGGCAAACUCCUUAGAAAGUUAUCGCUGCUCUGCCACAGCCUCACUUUACCACAAGGGACAUGAAUACCAAUCAACCUGGUAAUGGAGUACCCUCAGAUGGCAACUAAGAACCAGCUCACCAAUUAGCUGUGUCACCUGUCUGUGUGUUCGUGUCCACCCACGUCAAAGCUAUCUG